GGAGCAGCAUGUGAUGUGACCCCCCUCCUUCCUCCUAGCCUAUCUGCUGCACCACCCCUUCUUCUUAAGACCCUGCUCCCACACUCACUUAACUGUGCUCUCAUCUCCUCACCUGAUACAGGAUGCAUAUAAAGUGGACAGAUGCCCUCAACACCAAAAGUACUACCACAAUUGGCACUCUUUGAACUCUUUGCAGAGAGCACAACAACUGAAUAGGUAUGAAGACUACCAAACUUUUACCGCACAAGGGAUUCCUUCAGGACAACAGAUGAGUCAGUUUAAGAACAUAAGAACAGCCAUACAGGGUCAGACCAAAGAUCCAUCUAGCCCAGUAUCCUGUCUGCCUGACAGUGGGCAAUACCAGAUGCCCCAGAGGGAAGGAACACAACAGAUCAACUGAAAAUAUUCUUUCUGAAGAACAUGGAAACAACAUUCAUAUCAACAAAGGAAAAAAUGCUUCACAGUGUGUCAGUAUAAACAAAGAAGAUAAAAAAUUCCAUAAAAUAUCCAACAAGAAAAGUAAUAUUCACAGCACCAUUUGAACCUUAGUGAGAUGGCAGUAUCUUUUGUUUAGUUUAUGAAGAAAACUUUGUCAGUACUCUCUCUGUCAUAUCAAUUAUGCCACAAAUGCUUUUUCUUCCUUUUUGGAAUAUGCUAAUAUAUUAUAUUACUAUUAUACAUUAAAGCUAAUAGAGCCUAUUUUUAUAACAAAAAAGUGUAAUUUCUGUGCCUGGGUAAUACCACACACUUCAAGAUCUAUAUGUUUGAUUUCUGAAUUAACAGCAUACAUAUUAUCUCCACAUAAAUUCACAACUUUGUUACUUUGGUGAUUUAAAAUCGUUCAUACAGUGUGAUGAAGUAUCAUGGAUUGUACCUUGCCACAAAAGGCCUGAUUGGGUAGAUUCCACCCAAUACUGUGCAGACAAAUCGAUAUGGGUAUUUCUAAUACUCCAGUUAAAAUUCCAUUCCCAAUUUUAAAAGGAUGGUUGAAGUAAUUUCACUGUUCCUAAUAAAAUUCACCUCGUCUCCAGACAUAGGUGAUUGGUGAUAGCACAUGGGAGGUGCACCACCCUCCUAUGCACCCUCUGGGUGGCUCUGCCUACACCCUUCCCCCUACAGGCAUCAGUCGCCUAUCUCUCCAGCUAAUGAAUUAUACCUUCCAGAGAGACUUUUAUUUCACUAGUUCAGAAGUGGUCGUGACUUUGUUGUGAUUUGGGGUUUCUUGUCUUCAGAAUGCAGCUGUCAGGUAUUUUCGAAAGAAAUCUUUACCCUGAUCGCUAUUCAAAUUACACACUGUUAUACAACCAAUAUACUCAGCAUAUUUUUCAACAACAGAGUAUAAAUGUUUCCAAUAAUCACACCAACUUGUUCAUAUUUAUAUUUGUGAAGAGACACUGCUUCUUUUUAAAUUAUGGUUUCUGAGACCACAUCCCUCAGUCCUAUUAGUGAUAACACAUGCUUGUGCACGUAUAUGUCCCUUUAUUACACAGGGUUUAUGACAGGCUAAAGAAAAAUUUUGAGGAAGCACCUUGCUAAGACAUAGACAACAUGUCACUGCCUUUUUCAGGAAGAUUCCUCAAUGAUAUCAUUAGAGCUUGCUUACAUCAAUGGGAGAUUUUUUUUCCUAAGAAAGUAAAGGACGGGUCAAAACAUAGCUUCUUCACAACAAUGAUCGCAUAUGAAUGUAAAAACGCUUCAAGAUAAAUGUAAGACACACAAGUAUCUUUUUAGAUACAGCACAUUUCAUGGACAUCUGUGCAGGAUCAAGGCCUAACUAAAUUUUAAGAAGGCCCACUGGAUUUCAAUGGAAAUAAUCACAUGUUUACUAGUAAGCAAACGUGUGUGUGUGUGGAGAAUCAGGAUCUUCCUAAAGUUCAGUUAAAGGUAUUUAUCAUUCAUGACCAAUUCACUUAUCCAUCUGCACUGGCAUUAUUCUGAGAGAAAAAUUUGUGGACACUAGGCAGUAAAUAUUACAAUUAAUUACCAGUUUCUCAAGGCUAUACUUAAAUAUGUAAAACAUGUACUCUUAUACCUAAGUUUAGAUUGAGAACCACAGACCAUAGUUGACCUAUACAUCACAAGGUGAAGAAGAACAAGUUGGUUCUCCAGGUAGAAUGACUUGGUCUGCACAUAUUAUUGACGGAUAAAAAUAUCAAUGAACACAGGCAAUGACAAAAUGUAUGUGAAGAGAUAAAAUGACUGUUAAUGCACUGUCUGAUAUUUAGAAAUGUUGAGCACCUGCAGUUUCCAUUGGCCUCUACAAGAGAGUUGCAGGUUCUUAGCACGUAUGAAAAUCAAAUAAUUCAUUUUUGUUAUCCAAUGUAAAAAUGAUUUUGCAAAAUACCAGUGACAAAGGUAUUUAUGUUCCUGUAACACUUAACCCAAAUAAGCGAGCAACUAACAGAUGAUCAAAUCACAGACUGUGAAUACACAAGCAGAAUAAUGUCAUAAUUUACACAAUUAUACAUUUUCAAUGUUACUGCACUUUGAUUUUGAUUUAUUUACAUUACCUACUCUUUUGGUCCUUCAAUCACACAGUAAAUUUCAGAAAUAUAAAUUAUCAAGAGGAGAGGUUGUAUUAAACAUGCAGUCAUUGGACACUGCUCAUCCAACACAUACAGCUUUAUUCUCAAGGUCAGUGUUGAAUUCUUUCAGUUGCUUAAUCAUAUACGGCAUGAAACAGUAAUGAGAAUUCUGCAGUGUUGGAUGACCCUCUACAGAUGUAGUAGAUUAAAAGGCGCUAAUACCUACUG